rnacentral:rRNA from 1 species
UACGAAGGGGGCUAGCGUUGUCUCGGAAUCACUGGGCGUAAAGGGCGCGUAGGCGGCCGAUCAAGUCAGGGGUGAAAGCCUGUGGCUCAACCACAGAAUUGCCUUUGAUACUGUUCGGCUCGAGACCGGAAGAGGUAAGUGGAACUGCGAGUGUAGAGGUGAAAUUCGUAGAUAUUCGCAAGAACACCAGUGGCGAAGGCGGACUUACUGGUCCGGUUCUGACGCUGAGGCGCGAAAGCGUGGGGA